UACGUAGGGGGCAAGCGUUGUCCGGAAUCAUUGGGCGUAAAGAGCGUGUAGGCGGCCCGAUAAGUCCGCUGUGAAAGUCCAGGGCUCAACCCUGGAAUGCCGGUGGAUACUGUCGGGCUCGAAUCCGGAAGAGGUGAGUGGAAUUCCUGGUGUAGCGGUGAAAUGCGCAGAUAUCAGGAGGAACACCAAUGGCGAAGGCAGCUCACUGGGACGGUAUUGACGCUGAGACGCGAAAGCGUGGGGAACAAACAGG
rnacentral:rRNA from 1 species